rfam:Ailuropoda melanoleuca scaffold3810_7, whole genome shotgun sequence.
GCCUGGGUGGCUCAGUCAGUUGAGCGUCUGACUCUUGAGCUCAGCUCAGGUUAUGAUCUCAGGGUUGUGGGAUCGAGCCCCGCAUCAGGCU